rnacentral:tRNA from 1 species
GGCCCUGUGGCCUAAUGGAUAAGGCGUCGGUCUCCUUAACCGAAGAUUCAAGGUUCGACUUCUUGCAGUUUCG